rnacentral:misc_RNA from 1 species
GAUGAAGAACGUAGCGAAAUGCGAUAAGUAAUGUGAAUUGCAGAAUUCAGUGAAUCAUCGAAUCUUUGAACGCACCUUGCGCCCUUUGGCCAUUCCGAAGGGCAUGCCUGUUUGAGUAUCAUGAACACCUCAACUCUUCAUGGUUUUCCGUGAUGAGCUUGGACUUUGGGGGUCUUACUGGCCUAUGGUCAGCUCCUCUAAAAUAAAUCAGCUUGCCAGUGUUUGGUGGGUAUCACAGGUGUGAUAACUAUCUACGCUUGUGGUUUUCCACCAGGUAACCUUCAGCAGUGGAGGUUCGCUGGAGCUCACAGAUGUGUCUCUCCUCAGUGAGGACAGCUCUUUGAAUGUUUGAUCUCAAAUCAGGUAGGACUACCCGCUGAACUUAAGCAUACCAAUAAGCGGAGGA